rnacentral:rRNA from 1 species
AGUGAAUGCUGGCGGUAGGCCUAACACAUGCAAGUCGAACGGCAGCACAGUAAGAGCUUGCUCUUACGGGUGGCGAGUGGCGGACGGGUGAGGAAUACAUCGGAAUCUACUUUUUCGUGGGGGAUAACGUAGGGAAACUUACGCUAAUACCGCAUACGACCUACGGGUGAAAGCAGGGGAUCUUCGGACCUUGCGCGAUUGAAUGAGCCGAUGUCGGAUUAGCUAGUUGGCGGGGUAAAGGCCCACCAAGGCGACGAUCCGUAGCUGGUCUGAGAGGAUGAUCAGCCACACUGGAACUGAGACACGGUCCAGGCUCCUACGGGAGGCAGCAGUGGGGAAUAUUGGACAAUGGGCGCAAGCCUGAUCCAGCCAUACCGCGUGGGUGAAGAAGGCCUUCGGGUUGUAAAGCCCUUUUGUUGGGAAAGAAAAGCAGCAGGUUAAUACCCCGCUGUUCUGACGGUACCCAAAGAAUAAGCACCGGCUAACUUCGUG